UCUAUUCUGCAAAUAAGAAAUUUGACUUCUACUCAAAUAAUGGUUACUGCAAAACCCUUCACACGCAUUGGCAUUGUUAUCGUUCCACUGAACUCAACAACUACACAAGAAAAGAUCACAGCAUGCAUUGUUUCAACGACAACUGACAACUCAUGGUUGUAUAAAGACAACUGAUCUAGUAAUCAAACAGCACAAAACCAAUGACAUGAACCAGAUCGCACAAGCUUGAACAAGAGCCAAAUAGAUUUUUAUUCGAGAAGAAAAGCUAAAAUUUCCAUCUAUGUUAAAGAGAAAUGUUACCAAAUCUACAAUCCCUUUUACACUGUAGUCACGGACAAACUAAUAUCAGAGCCUAAAACAAAUACCUUAGAGAGACACAGGCACAAAAACUGGCUUGGCUAUAAGAUUCAUUCUCACUCAUUUUGCAAGUUAAGUUUAGGUGCUGACACCAUCUUUCUCUGCAACUCCAGCAGCAUCAGUUGUAGAAGUUUUUGAAGAUGGUGGUUCAGCACAUGCCUUCAAGACAGCUUCGUUCUGUAAGAGCAUGAGUAAGAGCACAAGAUAUGAAUAAUAAAUUAGAAAAACUAUUAGAAGACACCCAUCAAAAUUUGAGGUAAACAAAUCGCAUAAAUUCUGUGAUACCGUGUUUUUUUGUGCAAAAGGAGAACAGCUUUGGAGAAGCCAGUAAUCAACUAUUGGUAUAAAGCAUCUUAAAAAAACUUUAGAUCGUGAGCUUAUAACUAAAGAAACAAAAUUCAAAUAACAAGAACCCAGAUUAAGCACAUGGCUAACUCCAGCAGGCAUACCAAAGCCGUAGAUGCAAAUUUAAUUUUCCUUUUUAUCAUAGGAUGCCAUAAUUUAGUGAUGUCACCUUNNNNN
rnacentral:lncRNA from 1 species